rnacentral:rRNA from 1 species
UACGUAGGUGGCAAGCGUUGUCCGGAUUUAUUGGGUUUAAAGGGUGCGUAGGCGGCCUUGUAAGUCAGUGGUGAAAUAUCUCAGCUUAACUGAGAGGGUGCCAAUGAUACUGCAGGGCUUGAGUACAGAUGAGGUAGGCGGAAUUGACGGUGUAGCGGUGAAAUGCUUAGAUAUCGUCAAGAACACCUAUAGCGAAGGCAGCUUACUAAGAUGUAACUGACGCUGAGGCACGAAAGUGUGGGGAUCAAACAGG